CCUACGGGAGGCAGCAGUGAGGAAUAUUGGGCAAUGGGCGCAAGCCUGAUCCAGCCAUGCCGCGUGCAGGAUGACGGUCCUAUGGAUUGUAAACUGCUUUUGCACAGGAAGAAACAACGCUACGUCUAGCGUCUGACGUUACCGAGAUAGGAUC
rnacentral:rRNA from 1 species